rnacentral:tRNA from 1 species
GCCGCCUUGGCGCAAUUGGUAGCGCAACGCACUUGUAAUGCGUAGGUUGUCGGUUCGAGUCCGACAGGCGGCU